GACGAACGCUAGCGGCGUGCCUAAGAAAUGCAAGUCGAGCGAGGUUAGAGAGCUUGCUCUCGAAGCCUAGCGGCGAACGGUCGCGUAACACGUAAGCAACCUGCCCUAGAGUUGGGGAUAGCCCUCCGAAAGGAGGAUUAAUACCGAAUGUGGAUCACCUCUUGCAUGGGAAGUGAUCUGAAGCAGCAAUGCGCUCUAGGAUGGGCUUGCGGCCUAUCAGCUAGUUGGUGAGGGUAACGGCCCACCAAGGCGACGACGGGUAGCUGGUCUGAGAGGAUGGUCAGCCGGACUGGGACUGAGAUACGGCCCAGACUCCUACGGGGGGCAGCAAUUAGGAAUCUUGCGCAAUGGGCGAAAGCCUGACGCAGCGACGCCGCGUGACUGAUGAAGUCUUUCGGGAUGUAAAGGUCUUUUCUGGGGGAAGAAGGAUGUGACGGUACCCCAGGAAUAAGCCCCGGCUAACUACGUGCCAGCAGCCGCCGUAAGAC
rnacentral:rRNA from 1 species